AGCAUGGUAAAGAGCAGUCUACAGCCUGACACCCAUCCCUAGGCUCUGUGUUUGAGGAAAUCCUAGACUAGUUCUAGACAGCACACAUCCUUCAGGAGAGUAUUUUGGAGUUGGAUUCCCUGCCUGUUUGAAGGCAAAAGCAAUCACAAAGCUCAUGGAGAUUGCAACUAAUUAUCACCUUGAAGAAUUAGAUUUGCACCUCCUCUCCUAGGGAAGAAUUGAAUGCAAAGUGUUCUUAUGUGAGAUCUGAAGAUCACUGAAGAGUGAGAGUGAAAAUGAGUUUCUGCCCUCUGAUUCUACCCGACUUCACCUGACCCUCAGGACUUGGCAGAUUGCUUUUCUUCCUGGCCAGAAUGGUAUUAGGAAGGGCUGAUGAAAUUACUUCAACCAUAAAGCUUAGGUUAUUGCCACUGCUGUCAUCACCACCACCAUCAAAACAGGCCAAGGAUCCCCCAACCAGCAUACACACACAUUUACACACAUACUUGGAGGAGUCCACAGAACCAAACACUGACUUCACUGCACCACUGGAACCCUCAUUUCUUCCACAACUGCCUAGAGAACCCAGGAAACACAACCUGCAGCUACAGGACAGUUAACCAAUGAGCUUGUCUUUUACCAGUAGGAAAAAUGGACAAAAAAGAAUCAGUAAUUCACUAGCCUUCCUUCCCUACUUACUUCGGCAUCCAAUAGAUCAAUGCAAACACAGGGACUUUCACAAUUUCUCUGGAAACAACUCACAACUUACAGCUAUCAACUGUACUGCCUCUUGAAGCUGUGGCCUGAAUGGUAGCAAACCAGUGGGUAUUUUCUCUCCUUCCAUUAUAGUCUCUCUUUCUUUUAUCAUUGACUUGUACUUCUAGGGAUUGUUUUCUCAUCUACCCCAUUAAACUUUCAGGUUAUAAGUUUUUGCCUCAGAAGCUUUUCCUUCUUUCCUCCC